CAGAUAGCCAAGGAAACCUAAUUAUGCAUCCAACUCUCUGGCCCAUUGGCUGAGUCACCUGCCGGGAAGCUUUCAGAAUAUUUAUAGCCAAAUGGAGACCUCUCCCUGACUCUGCCUGGCCUUCAGACACUUUCAGAAGGCGGUUAACACCAUCUGGCCUUGAGAAUUCUGAGUCUUUAUAUUUCAGGAUUGAGCUGAGACCUUUGUGAAACAUCAUCUCUGGGAGGGCCAGCCUGGGCCCAGCUCACAGACAUAAGCUGUCCUCAUAUCCCAACUUCUCAUUGACUCACACACGCACUCAGUGCUUUAUUGAGCACCUAGUGUGUGUCAGUUGCUGGGCAAGGUGCCAGGGCUGUACUGUAGCAAGGAAAACAGGAGACAAGGUCCCUGCCAUCAUGAAGCUCAUGUGCUACAGGGAGUGACAGACAGCAGAAAAAUUUUGUCUGCUCCUAAGAAGAGGAUUUUCUGUCCAAGUUCAGUGGACGAGAGCACCAGACACCCCCUGGAAAGACUCAAGAUUCCAGCCCUGUCCUGUGGUCCCUUCAACUGACAGCAACCACUCACUCCCCAGCCCCACUUACUAUCAAGGGAGCCCAGGGCCUGCUUCACCCAGGCCCUGGGAACAAGAUUUGAGAAGCAAAUGAAUUGUGUGAGUUAAUUCAAGGGCCACCUUUGGCUCCCUUAGCAGCACAAAUUGUCCCUGAGGACAUUGACUCGAUUCUUGGAUACAAAGGGAGAUACGAAUUUACCUUUGACUGCUCUCUGGGCAUUAAAGCUGGUCUUGAAUGUUUUCUCUGGGCGGUUCCCUGUCAUUAGGGAGGUGCCCACAUUUACCAAAUCAACGAGCCCGAUUUCACCUGGUCACACCCUUCCUUGGCACAGAAAACAGUGACUUCUUUUUCCUCCUGCUAAUUUGCUGUCAAGAUGUUCUACUAAUCAUCAUCAUAAUUACUAAUAUUCACUGCCCACUUAGUAAGCUCUUUAUACCCAUUAACUCAAUUCAUUCUUGCAACGACCUUGUGAGGUGAAACUAUUGUUACCCACAGAUCACAGAAGAGGACACCGAGGCCUACAGAACUGUGGCAAAGACUGCUCCAUGUUCCCAACAUCCAUUUUUUUCCCUCUUUCAAAGUAAAAGAAAUCCAAUUUUACUAGGGAACAUGGCUGUCCAGAAUUCCCAGCCUCCUUUGUGGAUAACCUGGAUCACUUAGUAAUGGCUGCCUGGUGGGUUGCAUCCUGGAUCUAAGUGGAAAGAGUGCCGGGACUGUUUAGUAAUGUCUGCCGUGGGAUCAGCCAUGGGGAACUAAAUAUUUGCCAUGCCUGGAAUUGGAAAUACCAGAGGGAAAAGAGGGAGGGAGAGACAACAACUUACAGUUCAAGGAAAACUCUUUGGUGAUGGCAGAGGUGCUCUGAGAGGGAAGGGAUGGACUGUGGCUGUGAAGAUGUGUG
rnacentral:lncRNA from 1 species